GACCCCUUAGCUCAGUGGUAGAGCGUGUGAUUCCAGAGCUUUGGUAAUUCCACAAGGUCAUCCGUUCAACUCGGGUAGGGGUCA